GGAGCUGGAGUUCUACAUGAGGAAGCUCCAGAAGAAGAAGGGCAAGGGUGCCACAGCUUAGGCCGAAGAGCUGCUGCAUGUUACUCGUUGGAUUUUCUUAGAUGUUGCGUCCAUGUCAUGUUUGCAGACAUACUGAACACCAUUUUCUGUAAACUGUUCGAGUCCUAGGUUGAACUGAGAAUGUUUUGCCUGUUUUGGUUGUGAUCUAAAGCUAUCCAGAUUCUAUUAUGUGUUGUUCUACCUUGCAGUAUUUUCAUCUGUUAAGUGAAAUUUUGUUCUCGCGUCUCCAUGUUGAUUUGAUGCAAGUUUUGCCUUCCAGGAUGUAGUUUGGUUUGUGUGGUUUUUGCAGUUGCAAAUGAGCUUCAUCGUAUCUGAAAUCCCUCGUCAUGGAAGUAAAGCAAUUUCCUUCUCUUCGGGCAUCCCGAUCUCUCCGCAACUAACCCAGGCUGCGCCUAUUGAUUUUGUGCUAGGCGGUUUACAUUAUUGGAGGUAUGAAUCAGUUUAAUAGAAUAUACAUCUGUGUUGCUUGGAUGGAUGUCUUGCUUCAAGAUGGAUCUUCAAAUAUUUAGUACUCUAAUUAACUUGCCCCAACUCCUUUAAUCCUGACUAUGGGUCCCAUCGAGUGGAAACCAAUAAAAAUCCAAAUGAACCUAAUUAUCCUGACUAUGCCCUUCAAGAAACGACUUAACCGGGGUCUAGGUGAAAGCUUCUCCAUCUCAUAAUAAUCCUCCCAGAUUGCGGGCAAGGUGGAAGAACUGUUGGAUCAGAUAGCUAGAGCUCCGGAAAUACAUCAAAAUGGAUAAAAGGGGAUGUAUUUAGAUGUAUUUUAGUUCUAGAUACAUCUCUUUUUAUUUAUUUUGAUGACGUAUUUUCGGACGGAGGGAGUAUAUCCUAUAAAGCAAAGAUGAGGAAGUUGUGCCUUUACUCUCGCUCGAAUUAGAGAAAAAGGAGGGAUAUGCGCAUUUCCUUAUUUCACAAUGAAAUAAGUGAUAGACGAGCAAAGCCCUCAAAUAGUUCUUAUGCUUUCAUAACCCUAAAAAUUGAGAUGCACGAAAUAUAUAGUCCAGGAACAAAAGGGCAUCAGAGGCCUUUUCACCCAGCUCCUAGGCGGUUUGAAUUGUGCGAUGGGGUGGAAUGAAUUGUCAUGUAGUGCAAUUUUUGCAUUCCUCCUUUUCUUCUUUUUCUUGCUCCUGCUUCUCGCUUGAGUCUUGAGUUUCCUUCCUUCCCCAAAAUAACCCUUCACGGGGCGAACGCUACUGACGGCCGGGGCUGCUCUCCACGCAAGCACCCGGCUCGGGCAAGCGAACCNNNNNNNNNNNNNNNNNNNNNNNNNNNNNNNNNNNNNNNNNNNNNNNNNNNNNNNNNNNNNNNNNNNNNNNNNNNNNNNNNNNNNNNNNNNNNNNNNNNNNNNNNNNNNNNNNNNNNNNNNNNNNNNNNNNNNNNNNNNNNNNNNNNNNNNNNNNNNNNNNNNNNNNNNNNNNNNNNNNNNNNNNNNNNNNNNNNNNNNNNNNNNNNNNNNNNNNNNNNNNNNNNNNNNNNNNNNNNNNNNNNNNNNNNNNNNNNNNNNNNNNNNNNNNNNNNNNNNNNNNNNNNNNNNNNNNNNNNNNNNNNNNNNNNNNNNNNNNNNNNNNNNNNNNNNNNNNNNNNNNNNNNNNNNNNNNNNNNNNNNNNNNNNNNNNNNNNNNNNNAGGACACACAGGCAGACGACUUGGGCGAGGGAACAACUCUAACAUAGGGGCCUGCGAGCGACGCACCCACCUGGGGCAUACACACCGACAUGCCAUCUCGGCCGGCGCGUCGCGUUUCUCAUGGGCGCGACGGUCCACCCGUCAUGGACCGAGGAGAAGGGGCGCCCGGGUCCGUGCUGCCCGAACGGAUCGAAUGAUGCGGAGAGCCCCCAAGAAGACCCCGCGGCACGCCGCCUCGAAACGGACGGGUCGGACACUUGCUCGCCCGAGCCAUCCGACUGCGUGCCGUCAUACCCACCCAUGGCGUACACACGGACAAGCGAGUCCGGUUGGCCCAUCGCGUGUGGGGCACCGCAAGAAAGGCAACUUGCGGGCGCGCUGAAGCCGCCCAAUGACGGUGGCCACAGGAAUGCCCCACAGUCCACCCGUCAUGAACCGCGGAGGCGGGUCGCCUAGGAGCACGCCGUCAGGGCUGAUCGGAUGGCACGCAUAGCACGCGAGAGGCCCGCAGCUAGCCAUCCGAAAAUGGAUGGCGCAGAAGGCUCUCUCACCCUCGAAGCCCCCUAGGAAGGCGGGUACUCCAACAUCCUUUAUAGGAGUAAUAUGUGCAUUAUGCAAUGUCAUAGCCAGACAUCAUAUAUGUAAAUUAUGCAAUGUGAUCAUAUUUAGUCAGGCAUCAUAUAUGCGAAUUAUGUCAUGUCAUCAUUUUUUUCAAUUACGUAUUCUAUUUGAUGACAAUGUUUGUACAUGCAACUACUAUUCCCGUGAAUCAGCCAUUUGAGUGGGCGAUGAAAAAUAUCUGGAGUGAAAACAAGGUCUUUAGAGCAGACAGUACAACCCGUCGAAGCAGAUGUCCGGUCGGUUAUGCAUAGCUCAUCAAAGAAGUAUUCAGAGACAAAUAAUCAGUCAUAUCCCCCCAAGGUGUAUGCCCUAAUUUGGGAGGGUUAUAGUACUCCUGUCUGUAUUGCUUAGUUUAGACAUCAUAUAUGUGAAUGUCAUCUACUUAGUAUAUAAAUUAUAUAUGUGAAUUAUAUCAUGCCAUCCUGUUUACUUAGACAACAUAUAUGAAUUAUGUCAUGUCAACCUGUUUAGUAAGACAUCAUAUAAUUAUGUCAUGUCAUCCUGUUUAGUUAGACAUCAUAUAUAUGAAUUAUGUCAUCCUAUCAUGUUUAGUUAGACAUCGUAUAUGUGAAAUUGUGUCAUGCUAUCGUGCUUAGUUAGAAAAAAUAUAUGUGGAAUAUUUCAUGCCCUCUUUCCCCCACUACCUAUUGCAUUUGUCUAUCAUAUGAUUUUUAUACAUUCAAUUACUUUUCUUGCUUAUCAACCAUUUGAAUUAGAGGGGGUGAUGACAAUAUCUAACGAAGUAAAAAACACGGUCUUCAGAAAAGACAGUGCUACCUGUCGAUGCAGAUAGCACCCGAUUGUAUUUCCCAACAACCGGCCCCACGACACAUAACCCACACUCUCGCAUAUAGUACCCUUACUCCGAUGAACAUAGGACCAGUUACACCCCAUCUAACCCCAACCCCAGUAGAUAGUAAUGUAGUUCCAGUUGACACAAAACCAUCUCCACCACAAAGCACCCAACACGAGCAGUUACUAUGGCAACUCCAGUGCCCAAAGCACCAUGGCCGCCACGGGGAACCCCAACUCUAAUAGGCAUUAGUAGCACACCUAUUCUUGCGGACAAAGCACCAUCAAUCAUCCAUAGUUUAGCGAGCAUGGCUUUCGAUGUUGUUAAAUCCUCUCUCGGUAUCUUCCCAUCAUGCAAAUAUUAUAUGAAACACGAAGAAAAAUCCAAUUUCAGGUUACUGUUAUUUUGGUUGUUUCUCUGUUUUAUACUUGUUUAUUUAACUAGUUUGGUGUUGUAACUUCUUGAUCUAUGUUGGUUUCAAUUUCAAUUGUAUAAACAACUAUCUUCACAUAUCAUGCACAUUACUAGGAUUAAUACAAACUCAAUAGUGUUGUUAGUCAUGCAUGUAUGCCUGUGGUAUCCAUUGUAAUCAUGUGGUUCUGUGGAGUUCUCGAUUGCUUGUAAUCUGCGUUGGUAUUUCCCCGAAGAGGAGGGGAUGAUGCAACACAACAGCGAUAAGUAUUUCCCUUAGUUAUGAAACCAAGGUUAUGAAUCUAGUAGGAGAACUAAGCAACACUACGUAAACAGCACAUGCACACAAACAACAAAUACUUGCAAACCAACGCGUAAAUGGGUUGUCAGUCCCUCAACGGUAUUGAGAUAGAUUAAAUUGUAUGAGAUUUGAUAAAUAGAUCUAACUAAAACAAAAAAUAAAAUAAAUAAAGAAAAAAUGUAGCAAGGUAUUUUUGGUUUUAAUAUGAUAGGAAAUAGACCCGGGGGCCGUAGUUUUCACUAGAGGCUUCUCUCGAGAAAAUAGCAUACGGUGGGUAAACAAAUUAUUGUUGGGCAAUUGACAAAAAAGCAAAUAAUUAUGACGAUAUCCAAGGCAAUGAUCAUGUAUAUAGGCAUCAUGCAUCUACUACUAUUACUCCACACAUCGACCGCUAUCCAGCAUGCAUCUAGUGUAUUAAGUUCAUGGAAAACGGAGUAAUGCAUUAGGCAAGAUGACAUGAUGUAGACAAGACAAACUCAUGUAUAAAUAAACCCCAUCUUGUUACCCUUAAUAGCAACGAUACAUGCAUGUCAUGUCUCCUUCUAUCACUGAGAUUGAGCACCGCAAGAUCGAACCCAUCACAAAGCACCUCUUCCCAUGUCAAAAAAAUCAAUCUAGUUGGCCAAACCAAACCAAUAACCCGAAGAAGAAAUACGAGGCUACAAUAGUCAUGCAUAAAAUAGUUCAGAGAAAACAUAAUACGGUGUGCUUUAGUAUUUUGAAGAAAGGCUCUCAUGCUUCACUUAGAUUUAUUUGAGAGUUAGUAAAAAAAAUUAGAAACUCUCUCAUGCUUCACUUAUAUUAUUUUGAGAGAAGAAAUUUUUAUGCUCAUGUUCUUCAUUUAGAUUUGUUUGAGCUUUUAAAAAGUAACAUAUGAAACUAGUCCCAAAGUGAUAGAUAUUCAAGAAGGAUAUAAUAAAAACUUUCAUGAAGAUCAUUGGAUUAAAUAAACUUGAUUCUUUGUAAUAGUUUUGCGAUAUGAUGAUAAUGCUAUGUGAGUCAUGUUGAUGAGUAAUUAUGGUUUAGUAAGAAUAUUGAUGUUAAGGUUUGUGAUUCCCUAUGCAAGCACGAAAGUCAAUAGUUAUGCAAUGAAAUUACAUCCUACUUGUGGUGCAUUAUUCGGUGUUAGUUAUGCUUAAUGUUCGCUUAUGAGAUUUUUCCUUUCUUGGUUGGAUGCUUCUCAAUAAUUUGCUAGCCUUCACUUGUACUAAUGAUUACUACUUGUGCAUCCAAAAUCCUUAAACCAGUUUUGCCAUAUGAGUCCACUAUACCUACCUAUAUGCGGUAUUCUUUUGUCGUUCUAAGCAAAUUUGUAUGUGCCAUCUCUAAUCUUCAAAAUAAAUUUCCUUUUUGUGUGCUCGUACCGCUCAUGAGACAGUAGGGGGUGUCUGAUAUUUUUCCAUGCUAGAUGUGUUAUUCUAAAGAUGAGUGUGUAUUCACUUGUCAUUGCACGAGAGUACGACAAAUGUAUUAGGGAUGCCCAGUCCCGAAAUGAAAAAUGAAUUUACUUUAUGUUGUCAAAUAAUAAAUUCCUUGGAAAGUGUUGGUAUGGACGACACCCAUGGAUUCGGUUAGCCGUGGAAUGUGAAAGUAUGGGAACCGCCUAUGAUAUAUCUAGCAUGGAAAGUAUUGGGAACUACUCGAUCGUUUUCGUUGACAGGAAAGGCAUGCCACCCAAAAUGUUUUAUCUCUAUCUUUUUCGCUUUGAGCUCUAGCACCUCUACAAAUACCUACUUCCCUCUGCGAAGGGCCUUUUUUUUACUUUAUGCAAUUUUUAUUUUUUGAGUCUCCAUCUUCUCUUAUAAAGCACCAACUAAGGGGCACUACGAUUGUACUUGAGAAUUGGGUGUAGCUAAUAUGCGAGUGUGUUUCAUGAAUGGAUCAAUUAUUGAGUAUAAUGGGCUAGGGAUAACUUGCUUUAGUGUUGAUAUUUUGAAAGACAUGGUUGCUUGUUGAUAUGCUUGAGUAUUGAAGUCUUCAUAUCAAAACUACACUAUUGCUUUGAAUCAUAUAAAAGUACAAAUGUCCAUGCUACAAAAGAAAAGAAUAUGUGAUGACCAUGAUAGACAACAUUCCACAUCAAAAAAAUUGUUUUUAUCAUCUAGCUACUCGAGGACGAGCAGGAAUUAAGCUUGGGGAUGCUGAUACGUCUCCAACGUAUCUAUAAUUUUUGAUUAUUCCAUGUUGUUAUAUUAUCAAUCUUGGAUGUUUUACAGUCAUUUUAUAGCAACUUUAUAUCAUUUUUUGGGACUAACCUAUUGACAUAGUGCCAAGUGCCAGUUGAUGUUUUUUUGCUUAUUUUUUACUUCACAGAAAAUCAAUGCCAAACGGAGUCCAAACGCAGCAAAACUUUUUGGAGAAAUUUUCUGGGCCAGAAGACACAUGAUGGGCCAAAGAAGUACCAGAGGGUUGCCCCGAGGGGGGCACAACCCACCUGGGCGCAGCUGGGGGCCCAGGCGCGCCCUGGUGGGUUGUGCCCACCUCGGUGGCCUCCCGCACCGCCUCUUUGCUCUAUAAAUACCCCAAUAUUCCAAAAACCCUAGGGAGUCAACGAAACACAAUUCCAGCCGCCACAAAUACCAGAAACAUCAGAUCCAAUCUAGACACCAUCACACAGGGGUUCAUCAUCCUCAUUGGUGCCUCUCCGAUGAUGCGUUAGUAGUUCAUUGUAGACCUUCGGGUCCGUAGUUAGUAGCUAGAUGGCUUCCUCUCUCUCUCUCUCUUUGGAUUCUCAAUACAAUGGUCUCUUGUAGAUCUAUUUGAUGUAACCCUUUUGCGGUGUGUUUGUUGGGAUCCGAUGAACUUUGAGUUUAUGAUCAGAUCUAUUUUUAUCCAUCAAAGUUGUUUGAGUUUUGAUCUCUUAUAUGCAUGAUUACUUAUAGCCUCGUAUUUCUUAUUCGAAUCUUUGGUUUAGUUAGGCCGACUAGAUCGAUUUUUCGUGCCAUCGGAAGAGGUGCUUUGUGAUGGGUUCGAUCUUACGGUGCUCAAUCCCAGUGAUAGAAGGGGAACUGACACGUAUGUAUCAUUGCUAUUAAGGCAAGAUGGGGUCUAUUCCUACAUGAGUAGAUCUUGUCUACAUCAUGUCAUCAUUCUUAUUGCAUUACUCCGUUUCUCCAUGAACUUAAUACACUAGAUGCAUGCUAGAUAGCGGUCGAUGUGUGGAGUAAUAGUAGUAGAUGCAGGCAGGAGUCGGUUUACUAAUCUUGGACGUGAUGCCUAUAUAAUGAUCAUUGCUUGGAUAUCACCAUAAUUAUUUGAAGUUCUACCAAUUGCCCAACAGUAAUUUGUUUACCCACUGUUUACUAUUUUUCUCGAGAGAAGCCACUAGUGAAAUCUAUGGCCCCCGGGUCUAUUUUCUCAUCAUAUAUUUUCAGAUCUACAUUGUUAUUUGCCUUUUCUUUUAUUUGCAUCUUUUAUUUCCAGAUCUAUAUUAUCAAAAACCAAAAAAUACUUUGUUGCACUUUAUUUUAUUUCGUGUUUUAUCGAGAUCUAUCUAUCCAAUCUAUCACAUUUUUAUCCCUACAACUUAGCAAUUUCUGGCACCGUUACCCGAAAGGGAUUGACAACCCCUUUAACACGUCGGGUUGCAAGUAUUUGUUCUUUGUGUGCAGGUACCGUUUACAUAGUGUUGCUUGGUUCUCCUACUGGUUCGAUAACCUUGGUCUCAUCACUGAGGGAAAUACCUACCGUAGCUGUGCUGCAUCAUCCCUUCCUCUUUGGGGAAAUACCGACGUAGUUCAAGCCACAUCAAAAGGAAUUUCUGGCGCCGUUGCCGGGGAGACAUCAUCAACAUCAAUCAGGUUCCUAAUCACAAAUCUCAUCUCCUUGCAAUUUACAUUAUUUGCCAUUUGCCUCUCAUUUUCAUCUCCCCACUUCACAUUUUUUUUUCGUUUUAUUCGCCCUCUUUUUCGUUCGCCGUUUUCUCGUCAGAUCUGUUUUUCGUGUGCAAUAAUGUUGGCACUUUUUAAUCGUUAUGGAUAGUUAUUCCUCUAUCGUGCACUCCCGAGAACGAGGUUCUUAACUUCAAACAAAGGGGAGGGAAGAAUUUAAAAGAUGCUUGGUAUAGGAUUUGCAAUACUCAUAAUAGAUCUAUUCGUAAGCAAUCUACCGUUGUUCUUCUUCGCUGCUUUUAUGUGGGCAUCGCUACUUGGUCUAGAUUCGUUCUUGAUACAAUUACCGGUGGGAACUUUUUGAUGUGUCCUUAGCUAGAUGCUUUUAAUGCUAUGGGAAAUUUAGUGGGAUCUCCCCUUCUUAUGGUUAAUGAAACAACUUUAACUCUCGAGCAUGUUAUGGAAAGGUUAGAUGCUAUUGAAAAGAAAAUGCUCACUGAUGAAAAUAUUGAAAAAUGAGAUAAAAGGAUGCACAAUCUUGCUAAUAGAAUCGGGUCAAAAGUGGGAGAUGCUCUUAAGGUACUAAAAGAAAAGGAGCCCGCAUUCAACGAAAGAAUAGAGUAGAGCCCCGCUACAAUAGAUAAGUUGGAAGAAAUUUUUAGUAAUUUAAGCACGGCUUUUUCUUCCGCUAAAACUAUUGAAAAAACUCCUAUAAAAAUUGGCAAUAUUAUUCAAGUCACUAAAAACAAGGGUACAACUUCUAACAAAGAAGAUCUUAAAAUGAUUAGUAUUCACAAUAACUUUGUUGAAGUGAUUAAAGACCCUACUUGCAAAAAUGAAUUCUUCAAAUUUGUUCCUAGGAGUAUUUUUAUUGAAAAUUUGUAUGCCAAAUCCUUAAAGAAUUCUAAGUGUUUGAUUGAGGAGUCGGAAACUAAAGAUGACAAUACUUGAAUCUAUGCAUUAUGCCUAGCUAGGGGCAUAAAACGAUAGCGCUUGUUGGGAGGCAACCCAAUGAAUACAAUUUAUUUUUGUCUUUUUCUUUCUGUUCUUGAGUGUUUGCACAAUUAUGCUACUGUUAUGAUUGAGUUUUUUUUAAUGUUUUAGUUAGUUUUUGUGCCAAGCAAAGCCUUUAGGAUCAUGUUGGGUGAUAGUUGAUUUGAUCUUGUUGAAAAACAAAAACUUUUGCGUCAAGUAAAACAAUUUUGAAAAUACACAGAAGCGAGAUAAAUCCUGAUUUUUGUACACAAGAUUGAUAUACAAAUUUCCUACAUUGUCCUAAUUUUUCAGAAUUUUUGGAGUUAUAGAAGUAUUCCAAGUUUUCAAAUUGUUACAAACUGUUCUGUUUUUGACAGAUUCUGUUUUCUUUGCGUUGUGUGCUUAUUUUAAUGAAUCUAUGGUUUGUAUUAGAGGGUAUAAGCCAUGGUAAAGUUGGAACACAGUAGAUAUAAUGCAAAAAUAAAAUAUGAAUGGGUUUGCAACAAUACUUAGAGUAGUAAUUUGCUUUGUUAUAACGGAUCUCACAAAGGAUUUGUUGAGUUUUGUGUGAUUGAAGUUUUCAAGUUUUGGGUGAGAUCACGAUGGAUGAAGGAAUAAUGAGUAAGAAGAGCUUAAGCAUGGGGAUGCCCCAUGGCAUCCCAGCUAUUAUCUAAAAAAGAAGCAAUCAACUAAGCUUGGGGAUGCCCCGAGUGGCAUCCCCUCUUUCUUCUAACGACCACCGGCAUUUUACUUGGAACUAUAUUUUUAUUCGUCACAUAUCCCGAGUUUUGCUUGGAGCGUCUUGUAUUAUAUGAGUCUUUGCUUGUUUUCCUUUUUAGUUUAAGUCAAGUAUCUUUGCUGAACGCACCUAUUUGAGAGAGUCAAAAUUACACUAUGAUUUGUUAGAAUUGCUCUAUGUGCUUCACUUAAAUUUUUUGAGCUAUGGAAUUGCUCUAGUCCUUCACUUACAUAUUUUUGAGUACGGUGUGCUUUAUUAUUUUUGAAUAAAGGCUCUCAUGCUUCACUUAGAUUUAUUUGAGAGUUAGUAAAAAAAUUUAGAAACUCUCUCAUGCUUCACUUAUAAUAUUAUGAGAGAAGAAAAUUUUUAUGCUCAUGUUCUUCACUUAGAUUUGUUUGAGCUUUUAAAAAGCAACAUAUGAAACUAGUCCCAAAGUGAUAGAUAUUCAAGAAGGAUAUAAUAAGAACUUUUAUGAAGAUCAUUGGACAAAAUAAACUUGAUUCUUUGUAAUACUUUUGCGAUAUGAUGACAAUGAUAUGUGAGUCAUGUUGAUGAGUAAUUAUGGUUUAGUAAGAAUAUUGAUGUUAAGGUUUGUGAUUCCCUAUGCAAGCACGAAAGUCAAUAGUUAUGCAAUGAAAUUACAUCCUACUUGUGGUGCAUUAUUCGGUGUUAGUUAUGCUUAAUGCUCGCUUAUGAGAUUUUUCGUUUCUUUGUUGGAUGCUUCUCAAUCUUUUGCUAGCCUUCACUUGUACUAAGUAUGAUUAUUACUUGUGCAUCCAAAAUCCUUAAACCAGUUUUGCCAUAUGAGUCCACUAUACCUACCUAUAUGCGGUAUUCUUUUGCCGUUCUAGGAAAAUUUGUAUGUGCCAUCUCUAAUCUUCAAAAUAAAUUUCCUUUUUGUGUGCUUGUACCGCUCAUGAAACGGUAGGGGGUGUCUGAUAUUUUUCCAUGCUAGAUGUGUUAUUCUCAAGAUGAGUGUUUAUUCACUUGUCAUUGCACGAGAGUACGACAAAGGUAUUAGGGAUGCCCAGUCCCGAAAUGAAAAAUGAAUUUACUUUAUGUUGUCAAAUAAUAAAGUCCUUGGAAAGUGUUGGUAUGGACGACACCCGUGGAUUCGGUUAGCCGUGGAAUGUGAAAGUAUGGUGGAAAAAGGAAUAAACUUUAUUUUCUGUUUGGGAACCGCCUAUGAUAUAUCUACCAUGGAAAGUAUUGGGAACCACUCGAUCAUUUUCGUUGACAGGAAAGGCAUGCCACCCAAAAUGUUUUAUCUCUAUCUUUUUCGCUUUGAGCUCUAGCACCUCUACAAAUACCUACUUCCCUCUGCGAGGGCCUUUUUUUUUACUUAUGCAAUUUUUAUUUUUUGAGUCUCCAUCUUCUCUUAUAAAGCACCAACCAAGGGGCACUAUGACCGUACUUGAGCAUUGGGUGUAGCUAAUAUGCGAGUGUGUUUCAUGAAUGGAUCAAUUAUUGAGCAUAAUGGGCUAGGGAUAACUUGCUUUAGUGUUGAUAUUUUGAAAGAUAUGGUUGCUUGUUGAUAUGCUUGAGUAUUGAAGUCUUCAUGUCAAAACUAGACUAUUGCUUUGAAUCAUAUAAAAGUCCAAAUGUCCAUGCUACAAAAGAAAAGAAUAUGUGAUGAACAUGAUAGGCAGCAUUCCACAUCAAAAAUUCUAUUUUUAUCAUUUACCUACUCGAGGACGAGCAGGAAUUAAGCUUGGGGAUGCUGAUACGUAUCCAAUGUAUCUAUAAUUUUUGAUUGUUCCAUGUUGUUAUAUUAUCAAUCUUGGAUGUGUUACAAUCAUUUUUGGGACUAACCUAUUGACAUAGUGCCUAGUGCGAGUUGCUGUUUUUUUGCUUGUUUUUUACUUCACAGAAAAUCAAUACCUAACAGAGUCCAAACGCAGCAAAAAAUUUUGGAGAAUUUUUCUGGACCACAAGACACAGGAUGGGCCAAAGAAGUACUAGAGGGGUGCCCCGAGGGGGGCACAACCCACCUGGGCGCGCCUGGGGGCCCAAGCGCGCCCUGGUGGGUUGUGCCCACCUCAGUGGCCUCCCGCACCACCUCUUUGCUCUAUAAAUACCCCAAUAUUCCAAAAACCCUAGGGGAGUCGACGAAACACAAUUCCAGCCGCCGCAAGUACCAGAAACAUCAGAUCCAAUCUAGACACCAUCACGGAGGGGUUCAUCAUCCUCAUUGGUGCCUCUCCGAUGAUGCGUGAGUAGUUCAUUGUGGACCUUCGGGUCCAUAGUUAGUAGCUAGAUGGCUUCCUCUCUUUCUUUUGAUUCUCAAUACAAUGGUUUCUUGUAUAUCUAUUUGAUGUAACUCUUUUGCGGUGUGUUUGUUGGGAUCCGAUGAACUUUGAGUUUAUGAUCAGAUCUAUUUUAUCCAUGAUAGUUAUGUGAGUUUUGAUCUCUUAUAUGCAUGAUUACUCAUAGCCUCGUAUUUCUUCUCCGAAUCUUUGGUUUAGUUAGGCCAACUAAAUCGAUUUUUCUUGCCAUGGGAAGAGGUUCUUUGUGAUGGGUUCGAUCUUACGGUGCUCAAUCCCAGUGACAGAAGGGGAAAUGACACGUAUGUAUCGUUGCUAUUAAGGAUAACAAGAUGGGGUCUAUUCCUACAUGAAUAGAACUUGUCUACAUCAUGUCAUCGUUCUUAUUGCAUUACUCCGUUUCUCCAUGAACUUAAUACACUAGAUGCAUGCUGGAUAGCGGUCGAUGUGUGGAGUAAUAGUAGUAGAUGCAGGCAGGAGUCGGUCUACUGAUCUUGGACGUGAUGCCUAUACAAUGAUCAUUGCCUGGAUAUCGCCAUAAUUAUUUGAGGUUCUAUCAAUUGCCCAACAGUAAUUUGUUUACCCACCGUUUGCUCUUUUUCUCGAGAGAAGCCACUAGUGAAAUCUACGACCCCCGGGUCUAUUUUCUCAUCAUAUAUUUUCAUAUCUACAUUGCUAUUUCCCUUUUAUUUUAUUUUUAGAUCUAUAUUAUCAAAACCCCAAAAAUACUUUGUUGCACUCUAUUUUAUUCCGCGCUUUAUUGAGAUCUAUCUAUGUAAUCUAUCACAAUUUUAUCCCUACAACUUAGCAAUUUCUGGCACCGUUACCCGAAAGGGAUUGAUAACCCCUUUAACACGCCGGGUUGCAAGUAUUUGUUCUUUGUGUGCAGGUACCAUUUACAUAGUGUUGCUUGGUUCUCUACUGGUUCGAUAACCUUGAUCUCAUCGCUGAGGGAAAUACCUACUGUAGCUGUGCUGCAUCGUCCCUUCCUCUUUGGGGAAAUACCGACGUAGUUCAAGCCGCAUCACUUGCAUAGGGAAUCACAAACCUUAACACCAAUAUUCUUACUAAAGCAUAAUUACUCACCAACAUGACUCACAUAUUACUAUCUCCAUAUCGCAAAAAUAUUGCAGGGAAUCAAGUAUUGAUAUCCAAUGAUGUUUAUGAAAGUUUUUAUUAUAUCCCUCUUGGAUAUCUAUCACAUUGGGACUAUAUUCACAUCUUAAGCAAAUUACCAUUGCUAAUAGCAAGCUCUCAAAUAAAUUUAAGUGAAGCACGAGAGCAUAAAUAUUUCUUCCAAAUUUUCAACUCUCAAAAUAAUAUAAGUGAAGCAUGAGAGGAUAUUUAUUCAAAAAAAAAAUCUAACUCUCAAAAUAAUCUAAAUGAAGCAUGAGAGCAUUUUUUUAAUUUCACUAACUCUCAAAAUGAUAUAAGUGAAGAAUGAGAGCAUUUCUUCAAAAAAAUUACUAACUCUCAAAAUGAUCUAAGUGAAGCAUGAGAGUAUUUCUUCAAAAAUUAAACCACCACCGUGCUCAAAAAGAUAUAAGUGAAGCACUAGAGCAAUUCCCUAGAUCAAAUUUUUUAUAUGAAGCACAUAGAGCAAAGCAAUUCUAACAAAUCAUAGCAUCAUUAUGGCUCUCUCAAAUAGGUGUGUCCAGCAAGGAUGAUUGUGCCAAACUAAUAAGCAAAACAAGCAAAUACUCAUAUAAUACAAGACUCUCCAAGCAAAACUCAUGAUAUGUGAUGAAUAAAAGUAUAGCUCCAAGUAAAAUUACCGAUGGUUGUUAGAAGAAAGAGGGGAUGCCUUCCGGGGCAUCCCCAAGCUUAGUUGCUUGGUACUUCCUUGAAUAUUGCCUUGGGUAUCCCCAAGCUUAGGAUAUUGUCACUCCUUAUUCCUUCAUCCAUCGUGAUCUCAUCCAAAACUUGAAAACUUCAAUCACACAAAACUUAACAAAACCUUCGUGAGAUCCGUUAGUAUAAUAAAGCAAAUCACCACUUUAAGUACUGUUGCAAACCCAAUCAUAUUUUAUUAUUGCAUUAUACCUACUGUAUUCUAACUUUACCAUGGCUUAUACCCCCCGAUACCAUCCAUAGAUUCAUCAAAAUAAGCACACAAUGCAACGAAAAUAGAAUAUGUAAAAAACAGAACAGUCUGUAGUAUUCUGAACUUUGACCAUACUUCUGUAACUUCAAAAAUUCUUAAGAAUUAGGAAAACGUGGGAAAUUUGUAUAUCAAUCAUGUGCAAAAAAUUCAGAAUUUUUCGUCGCUCCAGUGAUUUUCAACAAUUCUGCUACUAGAUGCAAAUGUUUCUGUUAAUGCAUAGAAUCAAAUCAACUAUCAACCAAACCAUCCUAAAGGCUUUACUUGGCACAAACACUAAUUAUUUAUUAAAUAAUAGAAAGUAAAACAAAAAGUUAUUGGGUUGUCUCCCAACAAUCUCUUUCUUUAUAGCCAUUAAGAUAGGCUUAAGAUUUCAACGAUGCUCACACGAAAGAUAAUAAUUGAAACACAAAGAGAGCAUCAUGAAACAUAUGACAAACACAUUUAAGUCUAAAUCUCUUCCUAUGCAUAUGCAUUUUAUAAUCAAACAAAUUAUCAAGACACUAAAUAUCUAGCAUAUGCAACCAAGAAGAAAGAAACAAUAACGAUUUCACCAUGAAGAGAGGUAAUUUAGUAACAUGAAGAUUUCUACAACCAUAUUUUCCUCUCUCAUAAUAAUUACUUUUGGGAUCAUGAUCAAAUUGUAAAAAUAUAGUAUCAUAUAAAAUAUUCUCUUCAUGAUCCACAAGCAUAAAAGUUUUACAACCUUCCAAGGUAGUGGGAUUUACAUCAACUAAAGUCAUGACCUCUCCAAACCCACUUUUAUCAAAAAUUUCAUAAGAUUAAACACUCUCCAAAUAUGUGGGAUUGUUAUUACCUAAAUUUGACGCUCUUCCAAACCCACUUUCAAUAUUAUUAUUGCAAACUUUAUUAUCAAUAUCAUAUUCCUCAUGAGGCUUAAAUAAAUUUUCUAGAUCAUAAUAAGCAUCACCCCAAUCAUGAUCAUUACAAUAGGUAGUGGACAUAGCAAAAUUAGCAUCCCCAAGCUUGUAGCUUUGCAUAUUAUUAGCACAAUUGACAUUAAUAUAAUUUAUCAUAACAUCAUUGCAAUCAUGAUUUUCAUUCAAGGAGCUAUCAAGUGUGGAUGCAAUAGCAAUAAUUUCAUUUUUAACAUAAGGAACUAUAGCAAGUUCAUCACCAUAAGCAUCAUUAAUAUUGGCAUCAUGGCCAUAAGAAUAGCAAGCAUUACAUUAAUUAUAAGGGGAUAUUUCUAUCAAAUCAACGGAAUUAUAAUUUUCUAUAGAUUUAUGCAUAUCAUUGUUUUCUUCCAAAGCAGACAUUCUCCCAAUUGAUUCACUAACAUAGGCAUUAGAUGCAUAGUUUUCAUAGCAAUAUUUAAGUAUUGCACAAUUUCCAGAUUUGUAGAGACUAAUAUCAUACUUUUCAAUCAAAGAAGCAAGUUCAUAGGCACCCUUAAAAGCAACAAAUUCGUCAAUUUGUUUGAUAUCAUAGUAACUAUAAUCAACCCUGGCAUAAGACAAUAAGAUUUCAUUGUCAUUGAACUCAUAGAAAUAGGGAAGGUGUUUUUAGGAUUCUUAGAGCAACAAGUAAGAUCAUAAAUUUCACAUAGAUUCCAAGCAUAGCAGAGCAAACAAUUUAUUUGAUGCCAUAAGAGUCUCCCCCCUUUUACACCCUCAAAAAAAAA
rnacentral:lncRNA from 1 species